rnacentral:rRNA from 1 species
UACGUAGGGGGCAAGCGUUGUCCGGAAUUAUUGGGCGUAAAGCGCGCGCAGGCGGUGGACUUAGUCGGGUGGUUAAGCUCGGGGCUCAACCCCGAGUCACACCGGAAACGGGUGCACUUGAGUGCCGAAGAGGAGAGUGGAAUUCCACGUGUAGCGGUGAAAUGCGUAGAGAUGUGGAGGAACACCAGUGGCGAAGGCGACUCUCUGGACGGUAACUGACGCUGAGGCGCGAAAGCGUGGGGAGCAAACAGG